rnacentral:rRNA from 1 species
UACAGAGGUCUCAAGCGUUGUUCGGAUUUACUGGGCGUAAAGGGCGCGUAGGCGGUCGUGACAAGUCACUUGUGAAAUCUCCGGGCUUAACUCGGAACGGUCAAGUGAUACUGUCGGACUAGAGUACAGAAGGGGCAACUGGUAUUCUCGGUGUAGCGGUGAAAUGCGUAGAUAUCGAGAGGAACACCUGCGGCGAAGGCGGGUUGCUGGGCUGAUACUGACGCUGAGGCGCGAAAGCCAGGGGAGCGAACGGG